AUUGAGCGCUGGCGGCAGGCUUAACACAUGCAAGUCGAGCGGGGUGAUGGUGCUUGCACUAUCACUUAGCGGCGGACGGGUGAGUAAUGCUUAGGAAUCUGCCUAUUAGUGGGGGACAACAUCUCGAAAGGGAUGCUAAUACCGCAUACGUCCUACGGGAGAAAGCAGGGGAUCACUUGUGACCUUGCGCUAAUAGAUGAGCCUAAGUCGGAUUAGCUAAUUGGUGGGGUAAAGGCCUACCAAGGCGACGAUCUGUAGCGGGUCUGAGAGGAUGAUCCGCCACACUGGGACUGAGACACGGCCCAGACUCCUACGGGAGGCAGCAGUGGGGAAUAUUGGACAAUGGGGGGAACCCUGAUCCAGCCAUGCCGCGUGUGUGAAGAAGGCCUUAUGGUUGUAAAGCACUUUAAGCGAGGAGGAGGCUCUUUUGGUUAAUACCCAAGAUGAGUGGACGUUACUCGCAGAAUAAGCACCGGCUAACUCUGUGCCAGCCGCCGCUGUAA
rnacentral:rRNA from 1 species